UGGCACACGAUCUGGCCGGCCGAUAAAGUGGCUGGAAUGGCCGGCCGGCCGAACAAUUCUCCAGCGUUCCACAUCUUCCCGAUCACUUUUCUAGCUGAUCAGAUUGAGCGCGGUCAUAAAAUGGACCUUUUAGAUCCUUCCUAAUAUAUUAUCACUUAAGGCGUGUUUGGUAUCUUGGGCUAGAUAUAACAGUAUUGAUUAAAUCCGGUUAGAUAAGCUAGUUAAACAAAGAUUAAUUACUAUUGAUUGUGUGUUUGACUCAUAAGAUUAAUUAUUGGGUUUAAGCAGUUUUCCGAUUGGUAUCCAAUGUUAAAAAUUAGAUAACAAUGUCCUUACCCAUUAUCGUCCCAAAAUUAAUUUUGUAAUGGCAAGAAAUCAUCGUCUAUUUUCUAUUUGUGUCUUUGUGUGUGUGUGUGUGAGAGAGAGAGAGAGGAGAGAGAGGAAAUGCCAUUUGUUCGUAGGGUCAUCUUAUUUUGCUGAAAACCAGAAAAAGAUAAA
rnacentral:lncRNA from 1 species